GUGCUCAUUUCGACCGCACAUAUACUGAAGCUGGAACAAUACAGAGAAAAUUAGUAUGGCCCCUGUGAAAGGAUAACAUGCCAAGAAUUGGUUCAUUUCCAAAUAUU